AAUCUUUGUUUGAAUCCUUCUGAAGAUUCAUAGGAUCAUGCAAAGACUUUUUUCUAUUUUCUUUCCAAUUUUCAUCGUCAGAAUCAUAAAUCUUUCUAUUAAUUAAAGGAUUCAUUACUAUGAUGUAAUAAAACAAUUAACCAAAACAAAAAAGGAAGAAAGGAAAAACUAAUGAUGGAGUAAAAAGAAAAGGAAGAACUAAAUACGACUGAUGUAACAAAUCAAUGAACAAGAAUAAAAAAAGAAGAAACCAAUAACAGAUGUUAGGUUAAGAAGAAUAACUAAAGACGAUGAUGGUGUAAGAAGAACUGAAGACGAUGAUGGAGUAAAAGAACAAUAAGAACGGGAGAGCGAUUGUCCAGUUCUUUGAAAUUUGAAAUUCUUUGAAUUUUGAAAUUCAAAUUUCAAAAUUGAGUGUUUUAAUUAAAAUUAAUAAUUCAAAAUCUUUGAUUUAGAAGAUUGAGUGUUUUAGUGGAGAAAAGAUAGGUAUUAUAUUGGGGAAUUGUGUAUUAUAGGAGAGAGAAUAUUACGUAUCUAUACACUUCUACUAAAAUAAAAAAAAAAGAAUAACAUAAUAUUUAAAAAAAGAAAGGAAAAAUAGAGAAUACAAAACUUAUAGUUGUGUAUUUAAGUUAUUUUCAUCUUAUUUUUGGCAAGAAAUAUUUUAGCCUAUUUUCUUAAGACCCAAAGUGGGCCAUUUAUUAACAAAGUUCCCGGCCAGCCCGUUCCUUUGUUGCUUCUCAACCAAAAUCAGCUCAAUAAUUUCCAGAAAUUUUCCCAGCCCAACACCUCAACGCAAAACAAAAAAAAAAAAAAAAAAGAAAAGAAAAGAAAACACCGACCCGACCCUUUUCUCGUCCCAAAUCAACCCAUACUCGCCCCGUUUAAUCAAGAACCCAGAAAUUCAUCCCAACGCGUGAAUUUUUCCAACGCUUGAGAAGAAAACCCAGAAGAGACAAAACGCGCGAGCAGCCCCCGUACGCACCCCGUCUCCUCCACGCGAAGGCAGAUGCGAAAGUGGCGAGUUCACGCCUCGCGUUGUCUCCCUCAACCUGUAUGGUUUGUAUGAUCAACAGCUUUAUUUCGUCCUUGGCAGCCAAAUGUCUUCAUCUCCGCGUUUCUCUCGUAAUGGCGCCUAAUCGAGCGGCUCCCAUGACUCCCCCGUUGCAAAUUCUGGAAUUUUUAGUAUCGGUUCCAGAUCUCUUUCGAUUUUGGGGAUGAUUUCAAAAUUUGAGAUUUUGAAAUGUCUUGGUCCUUAUCCGAAAUUUCCCUAGGUUUUCCCCCCAUUUUACUAACCCUAAUAUUUCCCUAUAUAAUAUCUGUUUUGUCAUUUUGAGGGGGAGAGAUUCUUCUGUUGGAAAAAAAGGCGAGAAGAGAAAGUUGAAUUUUUCUUUAGAAAUUAGCAUAGUGAAGAAGCUAAAGAAGUACACACGAAACACAUUCUAGGAAAGGAAGAGUUACUUGGUUUCGAUCUGAGAGUCCCUAUAUCAUCUCGUUUACCAUUGUUUUACCCAAGUUUCUUCGAGACUCUGCUUUGUUUUCUGGUCGGUAGUUCAUGUUCAAGUUUUGUGGCGUGGAAUUCGUUGCACGUUCUUCGCUCGUCUUGUUCGGUAUCGCUGCACCAAAAGAGGUGAAAUCUUUACUCUUGAGCUUUUUCUUUUUUCGGUUUUGUAAGUAGACUGAAGCUGAGUUGAUAUGCUUAAGCUGGUAUUUAAUUUAUUGUUUUUGAGUAUGCUGGCUUAGUAUAUUGUCGCUCUAUCUCUUUGUUUGUGUCUCUAUUCUCGCCUGAUCGAUUUAAAGUAAUCACCUGAUUUGUUUCUAGUAAAGUUUGCCUUCUUGAUGAGUCGUAGAAUGUUUUAGCUACCUAUAUUUGCUUUAACUUGAGGUUUAAUUAAGUGUUCUUCUCUACAGCUCUGAGUCUAAACUUCUCUACGUUCACCUCUUUAGAAGUCUUGAAGAUGCUUAGCUUUAGUGUUCUUUCGUGUGUGUAUAUAUAUAUAUAUAUAUAUAUAUAUAGUUCAACCUUCAACCCCUAGGUUUGGCAGACUCUUAUAAACAGACGGUACUAGUCUUAGCUUUAAGGUAUAUAUAUGGCUUUCUAGAGAUUUUUUAUUUAUUUCAAUAAAAUUAUAAGUGGUUUUUUCUAAAUGUUGUAAAGAGUCCUACUCAGUACUCCUUCACUCUUUCUUGUUCUAUUUUGUAAUUCUCAUAUUAAGUUCUAGUAACUUCCUCUAGUUUUAAUUUUUUUUUUUUUUUUUUUAAAUUAUGGACUCUGUCCAUUCAUGAAUCUAUUUUUACUGUUCAUCUCUUUCUCUUAGCUUUUGUUCUUAAAAUUAAUUUUCUUUAACUCCACCCCGGAUUUGGUCAUUCAUAGUUCAUCCAUGAACUUUCGAACUGACCCCACAAUUUCCUAGGAAUUUACAAGUUAAUCCAUCAAUAAUUUUAAGAGGCUAAGAGACUAACCAUAUACUAGGUAAAAUAGAUUCAUGAUAAUAUAUACUUAACAAAAUUUAAAAUAAACUCAUGUAUUUACAUGAAUUUAACACACAUAAUUUACAUAUAUGGGAAGUUGUACUAGAAACAUAAAUAUGAAACUUACAUUAUAAGAACAGAGUGAAGUUUCCCUUUCGGGAAACCCGAAAACUUCCAAGCUUUCUUUAAACAAAAAAAAAAUACUUAAAGAACCAAAAUCUGAAAAUCUUUUUACAAUGUCUAAAGGAUAGUUUUAUGAAAAAGGUAGUUUUGGGAAUUUUUUGAGAGUGUUUGUAGUGGGUCUUUUCUUUCUUUUCUUUUUUCUCUUCUGCUCCUUCUUGUCUUGAUAACGUCUGCUUUUAUAGGUGUCUUCGGACUUCAAACUCCGGAUUUCAAAUGGAAAAGGGAAUCUUAUCACUUCAGCCGGGUACGCAUUUGGGCCCCAUCGUGAAGUUAUUGCCCCUUCUUCUUGCAUUAUUGUUUCUGGAAUCUGAUUCAACAUCCUUUAUCUUAUCUUUUUUCUUGAAUACGACGCGUCCCAACAGUUUUUCCACAUGUGUGGUAGUGAGUAAAGUGGGACUCACAUUUUUUGACUAAAGAGGCAUUCCUCUCUUAAGUGUAAUAAUAUAAUAAGAUAAUAUUUAAAAUAUUUAUUAUUAUAUAUAUAUAUAUAUAUAUAUAUUUUUUUUUAUGUGUCUAGAUUAUGCAAUGCAAUUGAAUCAAAACUUGCUCCUGAGUCAUCAUCAUUUGGGUCUUGGGCAAAUUGUAUUGAGUCUUCAAAAUUAUCCGAAUUAUUUGGGCUAGGAAUAGAAAUUUGUCUUGGGCUUUGUAUUGGGCUUGGGUUUAUAUGUUUGUCUUUUUCUUGUUUUUGUUUGAGUAGUUUUUCUACAGUCUGGGUUAUUAGGAAUUCUAACUCUUUAUUUUUUUGGGCUUUUUUAACUUUUCGUCUGAUUGUUUGGUUAAAUGAGAGUGGUAAUUUUCUUCUUGAAGAUGAGCUUUCGUCUUUCUCACUUUUUGGCAAAGUGACAGCCAUUAACGGGUUUGAGAAGUCUUUACCGGCCACCGUUUGAACCGGACUAGCUGUAUCAUUAUCCGAUACAGUGGAUUUCCUAGCAUUCAGUGGGGAAUGCACACCCAUCUCAUCCAUUUUUGUUUGGGAUGGAAAACCCUGCGUAUCUGUCUGAGUUUGUAUAUUCUUACCUUUGCUUUCCAGUUUGCUAAGUUUUUCUCUGAGCUUGGCAUUUUCUUCUAUUAAGGCUUCAUUUUUUAAAUUUAGCCUUUUGAAUGCUUCAGUCAUGGAUGAGCAAUGGUCGCAAAAUAUAAUUUUGUCUGUGUCUUUUUGGAUGUUAUAUUGUGGGAUUUUUUCUGGGUUUUGUCUAAGAGCUGGAGAAAUAUAAUAAUUUGGUCCUAAAAUUCCUCUAGCAUAGUCUAAAGCUUCUGUAAAAUCGUUAAAACCUUUGAAAAGUGGUUUAUGAAAAUCUUUAAUUGAGUCUAAAACUUCUAUCCAUGUUUGGAAAACACCAUUUGUCUUACCAUGAACUACUACAUAAUAUUUAAAUUUAUUGUCUUUAUUUUUAUUAGUAAAAUAGUAUCCUAAAGCAUUUAGAACAGCAAUUAUGUAUUUAGUAUCUUUUUUAUUAUGUGCUAUCCAUAUGUUAUCUAUAAGACAUGUCUGUUGUUUAUCUAAUUGACAAUUAGGUAAAUGUCUAAAAGUUAAGUUUGACGGUCCAUAUGCAAUUAGGUUUUGUAAUCCAAACUGCAUUCUUUCUACUUUAAUAUCGUCUAUUUUAUCUAAUGAUUUAAAAUGUAAAUUAGCUAGUACUGUCUGUUUAUAAGAGUCUGCCAAACCUGGGGUUGAAGGUUGAACCUUUUUACCUUUGUCUGAUAGUAGAGGUCUCAUUCUGUAAAAUUUAAACUUUAAUUAGUAAUCUACUUAAUUGAUCUGCUAUAUUAUUAUCAUUUCCUUUAAUAUGCUCAAAAUUUAUAGAAGGGUAAAUAGAUAUUGUAUCUAAAAUUUUUAACCAUCUUCUUCUACUGCUAGUUUUAUCAUUAAUUUUUUGAUGGAACUUUACUAUUGCUUCACAAUCUGUUCUUACUAAUAUUUCUGGUUUAUUUAAAAUAUAAAUUCUAAAACUAUCUAAACCAUAUAUUACUGCUAAAAUUUCAACAUCUAUACUAGCUUUAUUACCUUUUUCUUUAAAUUUUCCACUUUGAUAGGCGCAUAUCUUUUCUUCUUGUUUAAUACUAUAUUUAUGUGGUUUUGAUUUUAGUACUGCACCCCAUCCUUCAAAGCUUCCAUCUGUUUCUAUUAUUAAAUAAUCUGUUUCUAGUGGCAUAUUUAAAUCAGGAAUGUUUUUUUUUUUUCUUUUAUUUUUUGUACUAAUUUUAUGUCUUCUAUAUUAAAAUUUCUUUGUCCUUUAUUUCCGGUUUUAGAAUAUAAUGGUCCUGCUAUUUUUCCUAAAUCUUUUAUAAAAGGUCUUGCAUAAUUAACUAUAACUAAAAAUUUUGUAAUUCUUUUAAACUAUUUAAUUUGUCUGGCAUAUCUAAUGCUUUUUUAGCUAUAUGAGGUUGUAAUUUAACCUUUCCUUCUCCUAAAAUAAUUCCUAAAAAAUUUAUAUAAUUUUUACAUAAUUCCAUUUUCUUUUUACUAAUUAUUAUUCCGUUAUUAACAAAUAACCUAAAGACUGUUUGUAAAUGUCCUAAAUGCUCUUUUAUAUUUUUACUAAAUACUAAAAUAUCAUCUACAUAUACUAAAACGAAUCUUUUAUAUUCUCCAAAUAUUUUAUCCAUUUUUCUUUGGAAAAUUGGAGGUGCUGUUUUUAACCCAAAUGGCAUUACUAACCAUUCGAAAUGUCCUUCAGGACAGUUAAAAGCAGUCCAUUCUAUACUGUCUGGAUGCAUCUUUAUUUGCCAAUAUCCUGAUUUACAAUCAAAUUUACUAAAAAAUGUUUUUCCUUGUAUUCUAUUUAUUAAUUCUGUCUUGUCUGGUAGUUUAUAUCCGUCUGUUCUAGUGUUGUCAUUUAAUCUUUUAUAAUUUAUAACCAUUCUAGCUUUUCCUCUAAUUAUUUCAUUAUGAUUUCUUACCAUAAAUGCUGUUGAUCUAUGUUUUGAAGUAGAUCUUCUUAUUACUCCUAAUUCUAAUAGUUCUUUAAUUUGUAUUUUAAAAUCUUCUAGAUCUUGAUUUGUAGCUUCUAUUGACGCAGUUUUAAUUAUAUAUUCUGGAUUUAUUAUGUCUAGUUUACACACUUCAUGAUUAUUUUCCCAAUAUUUUAAGGGUUUUUCUCCUAUUAUUUCUAUUUCAUCUAAAAUUUUUACUAUAUUAUCUAAGUCUUGUUGAUUUUUUAUUUCUCCUAUUUUCUGUAUUCCUGUCUUAAAGUUAUAUAGUUCUGUUUCCAUUUCUAUUAAAACAUAAUUUUUAUUAAUUAUUUCGUCUUCUUCUUCUAUGUCUAGUAUAUUUUCAUAUAGUAUAUUAUAAUUAUUUUUAUUACAUUCUCUAUCAUUUUUACAAUUUUCACAACAUUUUUUUUUGUCUUAAUUUAGUUUCAAUUUUAUUAGUUAAAACUGAAGUAUGAGUAGUAUUUUUCAUAAAAAGUAUUCCGUCUCUAGUUAUUAAAAUUCCUCCUUUGUUAUGUAAUAUAAAAUCUAGUCCUAACACAAAAUCUACCCUUAUAUCCAGAUCUCUUACCCAUAUUUUAUCCAUUUUAUAGGUGGGUUUAUAGAAUUCUGAACAAGUAUUUAAGAAACUUAUUUGAGCUUUAUCUAUAUAAUGUCUAUAUAUAUUAUGUGUUCCAUCCAUUUGCAUGGCUGCGAGUGGUUUUUCUAAAGUUUUUAUUAAUUCUAUGGGUACAAUCUUUUUAUUUAGAAUACUUUUAGUACAUCCUGAGUCUAUUAAUGCUAAAGUCUCUAUUUCAUAUUUUCCAAUAUGAAGUUUUGCUAAUAUUUUGAUAGUGUUUAUGUUUUUGUCUUCAUUACAUAUUAAAGUAUUAGAUUCUUCAUUCAUUAAUUCUUGAUUAUCUACUGGUUGUUCCUGUUGUAUAUUUUUCCUUUUUCUAACCUUACUAUUCUUUCUUCUAAUUCUUUUAUUUUUGCUUCUAGUACUAGUACUUUUAAGUUUACUAGAGGUUCAUCUGUGUAUAUUUCUUUUCUUUUCUGAGUUAUUAUUUCUAAUUGAGUCUCUAUGCAAUUUAUACAUCCUUCUAUAAAACAUUUAUUACAUUUAGCUCUUUUAUGUUUGCUUGGGUACCAUUUACACCAGUUACAUGGAUUACUAUCUAAUCCAGUAUCCUUUUCAAAAUCAUGUUCACAUUCUACUAUAUUCAUAAAAUUUAUUUUUAGAUUAUCUAUAUUCAAGUCUUCUAUUCCGAUUUCAUUAAUUAAUUCUCCUCCUUCUGAAUUAGAAGAAUCUUCUUCUUUGUUAUUUUCAUCUAUAUCAAUACUUACUAUAGAGUAAAUACUUUCAUUGUCUGACAUAUAUUCGUCUACAUUUAAUAAUGCUUCAUUAAAUUCUUCUACUAGUUGUGCAUUUCUAGUUUUAGCAUUAUAUCUUUUAGGACAAGUAUUUGCUAAAUGUUCUAUACUUCCACAUGUAAAACAUUCUAGCUUGUUUUUAUAAUUUCUAUCUGUUCUGUAUUUUCUAACAUGUCUAUCUCUAUUUAAAUAUGGUUUCCUUGCUGAGGAUUUUCUAAGAAAAUAUCCUUUCCUAUUAUAUCUCUUAUUAUUUUGUGGAUGGUAUUUUUUAUAUCUUUUCUUUUUAUAUUGGUCUUUAUCAUAACUUUGAGUUGUAUAUAUUAUGUCUUUACAGAAAUUCAUUUCAUUCUGUUUUAGUUGUUUUUGUAUUUGUAGAUUAGUACAUUUUUCUUGUAGUAUUUCCAUUAUAUGUUGUAUUCUAUGUCCUAUUGACCAUUUAGCUUGAGGGUUUUGUAUUACUCCCUCUCUUUUAGUCCAUCUUUCCUCUAUUUCUCUUCCUAAGGCUCCUGGUAGUUUAUUAAAUAAUUUUUUGCCUAAGUCUUGAUCAAAAGCAUUUCCACUGAUUGUACAAUAAUAGAAGUAAUCAUUUAAAAAUUUCUUUAUGUAAUACCAAUUACUUAUACUUAAUUGUUCUAAUUUUAUUACAGCAUUUCGCUGUAAAGCUAAUAAUCCACUAUUUGGAUCUUCCCCUGUUAUUAAUGUAUGUACUUUAUUUGUAAAGUUAUAAGGAUUUGGUCCUAAUGACACUAAAUACUGAAAUUCUGAUGGGAAUUCUACUUUAUAAGCUUCCCAUAAAGCUUUAGUUGAUUCUCCUAAAAACGUUUCUAAGUAUUUGUACAUUGUCUCUGCAUCAGUUUCUGUAUAAUUUUUUAUAAAGUCUGCUACUACUAUUCCUUUCCAUAAGUCUAUUACUGAAUUCCACCUUUGUGGAUCAUGUGCUGCUAUAUUUAAGAUUUUACCUUUACUUCCUCCCUCUUGGAGUAUUAUUGGUUCUUCUAUAGGCAUUCUUUUUCCCAUAGGUUUUACUUCUAUUGUUGGAGUAUCUCCUUGUCUAUAUACUCUUCUUCGUGGUAUAUUUCCUGUGCUAUUGUCUGCAGUAUGUCCUUGUUCAUUUGUUCUUUGAAAUGGACUACUAGAACUAGCUGUUUCCAUUAAUUCUUUCUGACUAAGUAUAGAUUCUAAUUCGGAUAUUUCACUAUCAUCGUCUUGUAUUUGUGUCAUUAUAUUACUGCUUUUUUCUAACUUAUUUUGUAAAUCUUUUUCUAAUCUAUAUCCUCUAUUAUCAUUUCUUUGAUUACAUUUUUUAAAAUGAGAUAUGGUCUGUUCUAAAUUUAAGUCUUUUAAUUUACAUCCUUUACAUGUAAAAAGUCUAUUAUUAUUUUCUUUGCAUAUUUCUUUUGCUUUUUCUAUAGCUAUGUCUACUGCAUAAUCUUCUUCUAAUGUUAUUUCCAUAUUCAUUCCUUCUAAAGGCAUUUCUUCUAUAGUACUUUCUUCUUCAAAGUCUUUUUGAGCUUCAUAAUUAUAAUCUGUAAAUCUAAUUGAAGGUUCUCCUUUAGAAUUUGUAUAUAUUAAGUGAGCGUCUGGUGUUAAUGCUUCUUUUUCUUUAAAGUUUCCUAACUUCCACUCCAAUCCUGCAUAUUCUUCAGGGUCUAUUUUUAUUGGUUUUAUUAGUUUUAUCCCUUUAUUUCCCAUUACUUCUACUACAUCGUUUAUUUGUAGUUUAAAUCUAGUAUUACUAUUAUCUGUCAUUUUUCCUAGGAAUCCUACACAUAUUAAUAAAUUUUUUCCACUACUCAUUUCUUCGUAUCCUUUAGUUUGUAUUCCUAUUUUUAUUUUAGUUCCAAAUUCUUUUAAAUUCAUCAUUAAGUCUGGACUUAUGUAGAAAAUUCCUCCAUUAUUAGUCAUGUCUACUUCUGUUAAUCCUAUAAUUGCCUUUUUUACAUCUGACCAUCUAUUAUCGUAUAUAGUAAUUAAUGCUUUUGUUCCUAAAUUUUUUCUAGUUAAUCCUUUAAUUCCUAUAACUAUUAAUCCUAUAUGCA
rnacentral:lncRNA from 1 species